GUGCUCACAUGGGCAGCACAUGUACUAAAACUGGAAGGAUACAGAGAAGAGUAGCGUGGCCCCCGCAUAAGGAUGACACACAAAUUCAUGAAGCCAUCAGGCAUAAG
ensembl:snRNA U6 U6 spliceosomal RNA